rnacentral:rRNA from 1 species
CGGCGAGCGGCGGACGGGUGAGUAACGCGUAGGAAUCUGCCCGGUAGCGGGGGAUAGCCCAGAGAAAUUUGGAUUAAUACCGCAUACGCCCUACGGGGGAAAGGAGGGGACUCUUCGGAGCCUUCCACUAUCGGAUGAGCCUGCGUGAGAUUAGCUAGUUGGUGGGGUAAAGGCCUACCAAGGCGACGAUCUCUAGCUGGUCUGAGAGGAUGAUCAGCCACACCGGAACUGAGACACGGUCCGGACUCCUACGGGAGGCAGCAGUGGGGAAUAUUGCACAAUGGGCGAAAGCCUGAUGCAGCCAUGCCGCGUGUGUGAAGAAGGCCUUAGGGUUGUAAAGCACUUUCAGCGAGGAGGAAAGGUUGUCAGUUAAUACCUGGCAGCUGUGACGUUACUCGCAGAAGAAGCACCGGCUAACUCCGUGCCAGCAGCCGCGGUAAUACGGAGGGUGCAAGCGUUAAUCGGAAUUACUGGGCGUAAAGCGCGCGUAGGCGGCUUGUUAAGCCAGAUGUGAAAGCCCCGGGCUUAACCUGGGAACUGCAUUUGGAACUGGCAGGCUAGAGUACAGAAGAGGGUGGUAGAAUUUCCUGUGUAGCGGUGA